UACGAAGGGUGCAAACGUUGCUCGGAAUUAUUGGGCGUAAAGCGCGCGUAGGCGGACCUGCAAGUCGGGGGUGAAAGCCCGAGGCUCAACCUCGGAACUGCCUUCGAUACUGCGGGUCUCGAGUCCGGGAGAGGUGAGUGGAAUUCCUAGUGUAGAGGUGAAAUUCGUAGAUAUUAGGAAGAACACCAGUGGCGAAGGCGGCUCACUGGCCCGGUACUGACGCUGAGGUGCGAAAGCGUGGGGAGCAAACAGGG
rnacentral:rRNA from 1 species